ACUUGCAUUUCAAUACUGUAUCGAAAAUCUGACUAUCCCUCAGUGACUGUGGUAACUGGUACUGUCAAAUUCGAUAUUUGGUUGCAAAAUAUAUAAGACUAGCAGCACUUAAAAAUCUUUUGUUAUUUUUCUCUAACAACCGUUUUCUUACUGUUGCAACCCUUGGUUACGCAGGGUUUUAUAAACAAUGAAAAAUAUUUCGCCGCUUUAUUAAGCCCCAUUAGAAAUUCUGUUAAAUUCACGAAAAAUCAGUCUACCUUAUGUGAAUCGUGUCUACUGUUUAGCCUGUUUGCGUUCGGCACGGUGAAUUAGCGUGGCCACAUUACUAAACAAGGCAGUUACCGCUCGUCAUCAAUUUCAACAAAUUGAGAAAUCUGCAGCAAAGAGAUUGGUGACAAAAUAAAGAAAAAACCCUGUUAGCCGUAAUAGUUAACGAGAACAUGGGCAUUUUCCUAGUACAUCAGUUAAGGAAGGUUCAAAAGUUUGUGCUGAAUUCUCCCCAUGGCAAUAAAUCCUAGGCGAUAACGCGGCAACGAGGAACAGUUUUGCCAGCCGCUAGUAUACCGAUUCGCUACGGACAAACUGAGAAAAUGAAUACAUCUAUCGAUUACGUUCACAUGCUUAACACGACCCCAGUUAAACUCAUUCUGGAAAUGGUUCGGAAUUCUGAGUAGAGUAGAGUAGAGUUGGUUUUUAGCUCAAAUGCAAUCACCGAUUACGACUCAAUCGGUUCCGGAAUCAGUUGUUGCAUUUGAACUGAAAUCCAUUCUGACUCCAUUCAGGAUACCGAAUCAAAUUCCAAAUGGUUUGACCGAGACGAUGUGUGCAACUACUUGAGUGGAAACGCAUCAAACCAAAGAUGGUGUCAAGAUUCCGGAAUCAUUAAAAAGUAUAAGCUGGAAAAAUACCGCGAAGACCUUUCGUGAGGCCAGCACCCAUCGAGGUAGAAGCUGCAAAUCAAGCUAAAAGGUUAAGGAAGGCAAAAAGGAAAGUCCUGCUGCAUACAUUUCGAAAAAAAUCUAUCGUUACCAAUUUUCGAUGGAAGAAUUUUGUUUCCUAUGCAUUUAUAAGGUCGAAAAAUAAA